CUGCAACUGCGGCUGCGUCCCUCUCCCUCUGCACUGCCCUCAAUUAUCUGUGUGAGAGAGAGUGGAGGGCAGGCCAAAUAAAGCCAUAGGUGCUGCUGGGAGAGGAGUGCGUGUUAGCAUGCUAUAAAUACUUGAUGCAUCUGGAGUUUCAGGGUUGGCUACUGUCUGGGUCUCAGCAGACCAGAUCACAGGCUCUAUGUUGAUCUAGUGAUUUAUAGAAUUAUUGAUUUAUUGGACUGGGACAGGGAUUGGACCAUCCUGGAGGUGACAGGCCAUCAUGCCUAGGAUAGACGUGGAUGUGAAGCUGGACUUUAAAGAUGUCCUGUUCAGACCCAAGAGAAGCAGCCUGAAGAGCAGGUCAGAGCAAACUCUCUUCACCGCCAUGCAGAAGCACUACACUGUGGAGCAGUGGAAGGCUUUUGCAGCCAAGUUUCCAGAAUGUUUGGAGCACAUAGCGGUCAGCUCAGGCAGCGGUCAAGCCGACCUGGAGAAGCUGUGCAGCGUCCUGAAGGCCGUCUCUGACAUCAGAUUCAUCUGUCUGGACGUGGCCAACGGCUACUCUGAACACUUUGUGGAGUUUGUCAAAACCGUCAGGGGGAGGUUUCCCCAACACACUAUCAUGGUGAGGCCGUUCCAUCAAGUUAACACAGCUGAACAGCUUUUGAAGACUUCAUUUGCUUAUGUCGUUUUAAUUACUGUAAAUAUUCUUACAUGUGCAAUGUGAUGUGCCAUGCAAUGUUAAACUAUCACCUGUUUGGUAGUUAGUUGGUUUGGUAGCUGUAUAGGUAUUCUAAAUGCUAUGACUAUGUCUGCCUGUCCGUCUGUCCGUCUGUCCGUCUGUCCGUCUGUCCGUCUGUCCGUCUGUGUGUCUCUAACUGUGGUCAGGCUGGCAACGUGGUGACAGGAGAGAUGGUGGAGGAGCUGAUCCUGGCAGGAGCUGACAUCAUUAAAGUGGGUAUUGGGCCAGGUGGGUCUGUUACUCUGGUACACUGUUACUCUGUCUGUUACUCUGGUGCUCCGUCUGUUACUCUGUCGGUUACUCUGUCGGUUACUCUGCCUGUUACUCUCUGUUGCUCUGUUACCCUGUCUGUUGCUCUGUCUGUUACUCUAUGGUACCCUCUAUGUUACUCUGUUACUCUGUCUGUUACUCUGUUACUCUGUCUGUUACUCUCUGUUACUCUGUCAGCCACUCUGUCUGUUACUCUGUUACUGUCUGUUACUCUGGGACUUUGUCUGUUGCUCUCUGUUACCCGGUUAUUCUGUCAGUUGCUCUGUCUGUUACUUUGUCAGUUGCUCUGGGUGUUACUCUGCUACUUUGUUACUGUCUGUUACUCUAUUACUAUGUAUGUUACUCUCUGUUACUCUGUCAGUUACUCUGUCUGUUACUCUGUUACUCUGUCUGGUGCUCUAUUACUAUGUAUGUUACUCUCUGUUACUCUGUCAGUUACUCUGUCUGUUACUCUAUUACUAUGUAUGUUACUCUCUGUUACUCUGUCAGUUACUCUGUCUGUUACUCUGUUACUCUGUCGGUUACUCUCUUACUCUGUCUGGUACUCUGUUUGUUACUCUCUGUUACUCUGUCGGUUACUCUGUCGGUUACUCUCUUACUCUGCCUGUUACUCUGUUUGUUACUCUCUGUUACUCUGUCGGUUACUCUGUCGGUUACUCUCUUACUCUGUCUGUUACUCUGUUUGUUACUCUCUGUUACUCUGUCGGUUACUCUGUCGGUUACUCAGUUAUUCUGUCAGGUACUCUGUCUGUUACUCUGCUACUGUGUCUGUUACUCUGUUAAUCUGUCUGGUACUCUGUCUGUUACUCUGUUACUGUGUAUGUUACUCUGGUACUCCAUCGGUUACUCUCUGUUACUCUGUUGGUUACUCUGUCUGUUACUCUCUGCUACUCUGUUACACUGUUACUAUGUCUGGUACUCUAUCACUCCGUCUGUUACUCUCUGUUACUCUGCCGGUUACUCUGUCUGUUACUCUGUUACUCUGUCUGCUACUCUGGUACUCCGUCUGUUACUCUGUUACUCUGUCUGUUACUCUGGUACUCUGUUACUCUGUCUGUUACUCUGGUACUCCAUCGGUUACUCUGUCUGUUACUAUGUUACUCUGUUACUCUGUCUGUUGCUCCGGUACUCUGUUACUCUAUUACUCCGUCUGUUACUCUGUCGGUUAGUCUGUUACUCUGUCUGUUGCUCUGUUGGUUACUCUGUUACUCUGUUGGUUACUAUGUUACUCUGUAUGUUACUCUGUCACUCUGUAUGUUACUCUGUAUGUUACUCUGUCUGUUACUCUGUCUAUUACUCUGUUAUUCUGUCUGUUGAUCUGUCGGUUACUCUGUUACUCUGUCUGUUACUCUGUCUGUUACUCUGUUACUCUGUUACUAUGUAUGUUACUCAGUUGGUUACUCUGUUACUCUGUCUGUUACUCUGUCUGUUACUCUGUUACUCUGGUACUCUGGUACUCUGUCUGUUACUCAGUUGGUUACUCUGUCUGUUACUCUGUCUGUCACUCCGGUACUCUGUUACUCUGUCUGUUACUCUGUUACUCUGUCUGUUAUUCUGUUACUUUGUCUGUUACUCUGUUACUUUGUCUGUUACUCUGUUACUCUGUCAGUUACUCUGUCGGUUACUCUGUUACCAUGUCUGUUAUACGGUCUGUUAUAAGGUCUGUUACCCUGUCUGUUAUUCUGUUACUCUGUCUGAUACUCUGUCUGUUACUCCGUUACUCUGUCGGUUACUCUGUUGGUUACUCUGUCUGUUACUCUGUCUGUUACCCUGUCUGUUAUUCUGUCUAUUACCCUGUCUGUUGCACUGGCUGUUACCCUGCCUGUUACUCUGUCUGUUACUCUGUCUGUUGUUCUGUUACUUUAUAUGUUACUCUGUUACUCUGUCUGUUAAUCUGUCUGUUACUCUGAUACUCUGUUGGUUACUCCGUUGGUUACUCUGUCUGUUACUCUGUUACCCUGUCUGUUACCCUGUCUGUUACCCUGUCUGUUACCCUGUCUGUUACACUGUCUGUUACACGGUCUGUUACUCUGUCUGUUACUCUGUCUGUUACUCUGUUACCCUGUCUGUUAUACUGUUUGUUACACUGUCUGUUACACUGUCUGUUACACUGUCUGUUGCCCUGUCUGUUACUCUGUCUGUUACUCCGUCUGUUACUCUAGCACCCUCUUCCCUACAUAGUGCACUAUAAGUAGAGCACUAUAUGGAGUCAUGAGUUCACCAGGGCUCCCUUCAAGAGAGAAAAAUACUUCAGCUGAGUGCAUUCAGCUCCUGACAAACUGACACGUCAUGAUUCCCCUCUAGGUUCUGUGUGUACGACGCGUAUUAAGACGGGAGUGGGAUACCCCCAGCUCAGUGCUGUCAUAGAGUGUGCAGACUCCGCCCACGGCCUGAAGGGUCACAUCAUCUCAGUGAGUGACCUCUGACCUCAAGAACCUUCUGACAUUCUGACCUCUUGGGUCAGAUUCAGGAGGGUGCAACGCACCUGCACAAUACAUGUAUCUACACAACAUUUCUAUCUGAACAAACCCAGGGGUUAAAGGUGCUGGAGCUCGGGUUCCGCCUAGCUUUCCCUUUGAGAGAUUAAACCACUGAACGUUCCACAAUGUUUGCUCAAUAUGUUUUGUUUUAUCGCACCAGGAUGGCGGAUGCAGCUGUCCUGGCGAUGUGGCUAAGGCAUUUGGUGAGUCCUGGUUUGAUAAAUCAUACUAUCAUAGUGACAUUGCGUAUGUGUUCUAUUCUCUAUAGGGCCCGGGUCAAAGUAGUGCACUAUAUUGGUAAUAGGAUGCAUUUGUUGUGUCCCUCAAAGAUGCUGCCUUGCCUAACUCUCUCUCAACAGGGUUGUGUGUGUGUGAUUCUAGGCGCUGGAGCUGAUUUUGUGAUGCUGGGGGGCAUGCUGGCUGGCCACGACCAGUGUGCCGGGGAGGUCAUUGAGAGGAAUGGCAGAAAGGUCAAGCUGUUCUAUGGGAUGAGCUCUGACACGGCCAUGAAGAAACAUGUAGGGGGAGUGGCAGAGUACAGGUAAAUUAAUACUAAUUUGGUGGGUGCUUAUAUCUGGCCUGUUUUAAACAUGUGAAUUGGAAAUUGUUUUUUUUGGGGGGGCAUAUCUCACUCUCCCUGAGACGCCCUCGGAGUGUGAGGUCACAGCCAGGGCCCUGGAGAAAUUAGUGUUACCGUAAUUUCCGAACUAUUAAGCGCACCUGAAUAUAAGCCGCACCCACUGAAUUUAAAAAAAUAUAUUAUUUUGAACAUAAAUAAGCCGCACAUGUCUAUAAGCCGCAGGUGCCUACCGGUACAUUGAAACAAAUUAACUUUACACAGGCUUUAACGAAACACGGCUUGUAACAAAAAUAAAUAGGCUUUAACGAAACACGGCUUGUAACAAAAAUAAAUAGGCUUUAACGAAACACGGCUUGUAACAAAAAUAAAUAGGCUUUAACGAAACACGGCUUGUAACAAAAAUAAAUAGGCUUUAACGAAACACGGCUUGUAACAAAAAAUAAAAAAUUAGCAGUAAGCUUUAGUUGUCUUUUUGCACUGAGUCAAUUCCUCACGCUGCUGUUUCCAACGUCUUAUCAUCGACUCAUUAAGACCAAGCUCCCGUGCAGCAGCUCUAUUUCCUUUUCCAACAGCCAGAUCAAUCGCCUUCAACUUGAAAGCUGCAUCAUAUGCAUUUCUCCGUGUCUUUGCCAUGAUGAGGGUGACAAAAUGACUACCGUAAUCAGAAUGAUGGGAAGUUUGAGGGCGCUCGAUUUAAUCUAAACAGUAAACAAAAAAGUUGUUUGACCUUAACCGUUCGGCAAUUUCAUUGGUCUAAUGAAAGCUUCAUGCCGCCAAAAAACUGAGCAAGUCACAGAAUGUGUUUUUUAUGAGAAAAAAAAAUUGAAAGCGGGAAAAAUCCAUAUAUUAGUCGCGUCAUUGUUUAAGCCGCGAGGUUCAAAGCGUGGGAAAAAAGUUGCGGCUUAUAGUCCGGAAUUUACGGUAAGUGCCUUGCUCAAGGGCACUUCAACAGAUUUCUUUCACCUUGCCGGGGCGGGGAUUCAAAGUAGCAACCUUACGGUUAAUGGCCCAAUGAUCUAACCGCUAGGCCAGUGGUUCCCAGCCUUCUUUGGUUACUGUACCACCAACUGAAUUUAGCUCUGCCUGGAGUACCCCUGAAGUACCCCCUUUUACCAGAAGGCCUAUUUACCAGAAGGCCUAUGGUCUCAUGAGUCUUCUCAAGUACCCCCGGUUGUCCUUGUACCCCUGGUUGGGAACCCCUACGCUAGCCUACUGUCACGUCCUGACCAGUGAAAGAGGCCAUUUGCCAUAGUAGUAUGGUCAGGGCGUUGCAGGGGGUUUGUUUUGUAUGUAUUUUGGGUUUUCUGUUUCUAUGUGGGUUUUUCUAGUAUUCUAUUUCUAUGUUUUGUUUUCCAUGUUUUGGCCGGGUAUGGUUUCCAAUCAGAGGCAAGUGUCUUUCAUUGUCUCUGAUUGGAAGCCAUACUUAGGCAGCCUGUUUUCCUUUGGGGUUUGUGGGUAGUUGUUUUCCGUUUUGUCUGAGUACCUUGCGGAACUGUUGGCUGUCGUUCUGUUAUUUAAAUGUUCUCGUAAAAUAAAGUAAGAAUGAGCACUCUACACGCUGCGCCUUGGUCCCCUUUCAUCGACCGCUGUGACAGAACUACCCACCACCAACAGACCAAGCAGCGUGCAUUCUCGAGGAGGAAGAGCAGGACCCAGCAGAGGAGUGGACCUGGGAGUAGAUCUUAGAUGGGGCAGGACCCUGGACAAGCCCUGGGGAGUAUCGCCGUCCGCAGUGGGAGAUAGAGGCAGUGAAGGCGUAACGACGAUACUGGGAGGAACGGCUAGGCAGGCAAGAAGAGGCCGAAUUUGUUUUGGGGGGGGUACACGGGUAGAUUGGCGAAGGCAAGGUUAAGACCUGAGCCAACUCUCUGUGCUUACCGUGGGGAGCGAGUGACGGUAGAAGCACCGUGUUAUGCGGUGGUGCGCACGGUGUCGCCCAUGCGCACUCACAGCCCGGUGCGCUCGGUGCAAGCUCCUCACCGUUGCCGUGCUAGAGUUGGCCGGCAGCCAGGGAGAAGAGCACCACUUCAACGUAUCUGGUCUCCAGUGCGUCUCCUCGGCCCAGGUUAUCCUGCGCCAGCUUUCCGCACGGUAACCCCUGUUCGCCAGCUCAACCCAGUGCAGCCUAUUCCAGCUCCCCGCCCUUGCUGGGCUAUGGUUAAGAUCGAGCCAGGACGGGUUGUGCCAGCCCUAAGCGCCAGACGUCCAGUGUGCCUCCAAGGCCCAGUGUACCCUGUGCCUGCUCCGCGCACUCUCCCUCCAGUGCGCCACCAUAGCCCAGACUGUCACGUCCUGACCAGUGAAAGAGGUCAUUUGCCAUAGUAGUAUGGUCAGGGCGUGGCAGGGGGGUUUGUUUUGUAUGUAUUUUGGGUUUUCUGUUUCUAUGUGGGUUUUUCUAGUAUUCUAUUUCUAAGUUUUGUUUUCCAUGCUUUGGCCGGGUAUGGUUUCCAAUCAGAGGCAGGUGUCUUUCGUUGUCUUUGAUUGGAAGCCAUACUUAGGCAGCCUGUUUUCCUUUGGGGUUUGUGGGUAGUUGUUUUCCGUUUUGUCAAAGUACCUUACGGAACUGUUGGCUGUCGUUCUGUUAUUUUGUUUAAGUGUUCUCGUAAAAUAAAGUAAGAAUGAGCACUCUACACGCUGCGCCUUGGUCCCCUUUCAUCGACCGCUGUGACACCUACCUUCCGCCCACACUAUAUAAAUACAGUAUCCGUUCAGUUUUUCUAACAGUAACUUACAAGCAAGCACACACAUUUUCUUAACAAAAUGUUAAUUUAGUAGUUAGCUCUAGUCUAUUUAGUACAAAACUGUUGAUGAUGUUGAAGACUAAGAAAUCAAUGUGUCUGAUCAACCCAAUGGAAAGACCAUGGAUUUAUUGACAAGUUUUACCCUCUUCCUCAAUCCCUCCAUACCCCUCUCCUCCUCCUCCUCCUCCUCCUGCAGAGCGUCAGAGGGCAGGACGGUGGAGGUACCGUACAGGGGGGAUGUAGAGGCCACCAUCAGGGACAUUCUGGGUGGUCUGCGCUCCACCUGCACCUACGUAGGAGCUGCCAAACUGAAGGAGCUCAGUCGCAGGACCACCUUUAUCAGAGUCACACAGCAGGCCAGCCACAUGUUCACAUAGUAGUAAAUAGACGGAGGGACGGACAGACAGACAGCCAUGAUCUUUCUUGUGGCUGUUUAGAACUUCACAUCCUAAUGCCUGAUUUCAAUUGUGCUGAUUUAAUUUAAAAUGUAAAAGUUUGAAUCUACAACAAUAUUUAUGUAAAUGCAUGUGUUACUUUCCCUGUACACAGUAGACAGAAAGAGGAGAAACAGAGAAAUACCAACCUGGACUCAGGGGUAGACAUAGUAAACUUAUAUCCGUGACACUCCAAUUAGUAUGAUAUGUUAUGAAUUCUAAUUUGUUGAGGCUAAGGUUAUCUAGGUGUCUAGGUGGCUAACGCUAAUGUUAGCUAGGUGGCUAAUGUUAACCAGGUUAGGGGUUAAGGUUAGGAGUUAGGUUAGGGUAUGGGUUAGCUAAUAUGCUAAGUAGUUGCAAAAAAUUGGUAAGUAGUUUCAAAGUUGCUAAUUAGCUAAAAUGAUAAAAUUGUCUGUGAUGUUAUUCAAACUCACAGCCUUUGGGUUGCUUGAUGUUCAUGUUUUACACCUACCCAUCCACCCUGUCCAAACAUCCUACUUUUGUUUUUUGCCUUAAGUAACCUUCUGUCUUAUGUAACCAAAUGUAACAUAUCAUACUAAAUUGAAUCUUUCAGAAUUUGGAUUUACAUUUACUAUGUUACGUGUAGUCUAUGAGACCAGGCUGGAAAAACAGAGUGCUAGAGUAAGCAGCUGCUCUGUUGCUCCUCUUGAAAGAUGGAUGAAAGACAGAUGAGCCAGUUGAUAGACAGAAUUUCAGUUGACUCUGUUAUUUAUUAUUCUGAGUAUACAGAGACAAUACAUUUGUUCAUGUUCUUUUGUGUUUCUUUAAACAAAUUUGUUCAAAUCUAAAUGAAAUGUUAAAAAAAAUUACAACUGAAAUAUUUUGUCCAUAAACCUGGAAAAACUCUCCUAAGAAAGAGACCAUAGAUCAUACAGAACAGAUUGGAGUAUAUCCUACAAAUUAAACCGUAAUACCACAGUUAGAAAAGCAACUUUGAAGUCUUCUAGUCCUCUUGUUUCCUGUCUCCUGUUGUACAUAAAUGUAUCUUACAUAUGAGGUACACAAAAAAGUUAUUUCACAACCUUUCUUGGGGGUUGCGGACCAAUGCAUGAACAUUUUUUAAAUUACAGAUUGUACAAUAAUAACAAUGAUCCUAUUUUGUAUAAUAUCUACAACAAUGUUUAUAUUUUAGCACAUACAUAUCUCAGGAAAAAACAGUCAAUGGGCGGUGUCUGUUUCUCUGCCAGUUCACCUGAUUAUUGGCAAGAUGCAAACAACAGUCUAAUAAUCUCUAUUCAUUCUAUUCUCUGUCUCUCUCUCUCCCUCCUCUCUCUCCCUCCUCUCUCUCUCUCCUCUCAAUGAAUUUGAAAAUAUCCAAUUGCUUUCUUUGAUGAUAAACAGUUUUAUGAUAAUCACACACACACACACACACACACACACACACACACACAAUUCCUGAGUUCUGUAAAAUACUUUAUUUUGGCUAUAAGAAAAUAUAUAUAAUUUUAAACUGAAAGAAAAGAGAGACACCUGUGAGAAUUCAGUCUAAAGUAAGACAGGUACACAUGAGUGGGUAGUGAGGCCAGGUAGUUACAGAAUGUAGAGUAAUGUCCACAUUCAUGUGCACAGGUUCAUCUACUGCUGAACCUAUGGCACUGGUCCAUAAUCACUGAUGAUCUUGACUCUAGCUUUUUCACUUGACAGUACCAUGAUUACUCUGAUUUGCCUGAAUUAAAAGUAUGAAAAUAUACAUUUUAAUGAUUCAUGUCACGUGAAGAUACAAUGUAUUCUCAGGUGACAUAUUGCAAGUUGAGGUUUGAGUUUUACAUGGGAUGUCAUUCAUACAAAUAACUGAUGAAAGUGAAUCAGAGACAUUUUAGAGGGUCAUCGGUCUGUAAUGAUUUAACAUGGAAAAACACCAAUCUAUAAUUCAGGUAUUGCACAUACAACACAUACAACCCAAUUACAACUAAGUUAAUUGGACAGGUUCACUAUAGCUGUAGUUCAAUGUCAGUGGCUCUCCCUCCACCACUUUACAGUGUAAAACAUUGUAAAACAACGUCCAGAAGAACCACUGUAAAACGUUGUAUAACGUCCAGAAGAACCACUGUAAAACGUUGUAUAACGUCCAGAAGAACCACUGUAAAAUGUUGUAUAACGUCCAGAAGAACCACUGUAAAACGUUGUAUAACAUCCAGAAGAACCACUGUAAAACGUUGUAUAACGUCCAGAAGAACCACUGUAAAACGUUGUAUAACGUCCAGAAGAACCACUGUAAAACGUUGUAUAACAUCCAGAAGAACCACUGUAAAACGUUGUAUAACGUCCAGAAGAACCACUGUAAAACGUAGUAUAACGUCCAGAAGAACCACAGAAAGCCCCCGAUAAAAGGUGAAGUAGAACUCACUGCAGGAGAAGCUAUCAUGUAACUUACUACAGUAUGAAGCUAUCAGGUAACUUACUACAGUAUGAAGCUAUCAGGUAUGUAGCUGUCAGGUAGGUUACAACACUAUGAAGCUAUCAGGUAACUUACUACAGUAUGAAGCUAUCAUGUUUGACGCUAUUGGGUAACUUACUACAGUAUGAAGCUAUCAGGUAACUUACUACAGUAUGAAGCUGUCAGGUAACUUACUACAGUAUGAAGCUAUCAGGUAACUUACUACAGUAUGAAGCUAUCAGGUAUGAAGCUAUCAGGUAACUUACUACAGUAUGAAGCUAUCAGGUAACUUACAACGGUAUGAAGCUAUCAGGAAACUUAGUACAGUAUGAAGCCAUCAGGUAACUUACUACAGUAUGAAGCUAUCAGGUAACUUACAACAGUAUGAAGCUAUCAGAUAACUUACUACAGUAUGAAGCUAUCGGGUAACUUACUACAGUAUGAAGCUAUCGGGUAACUUACAACAGUAUGAAGCUAUCAGGUAACUUACAACAGUAUGAGGGCUAUCAGGUAACUUACUGCAGUAUGAAGCUAUCAGGUAUGAAGAUAUCAGGUAACUUACUACAGUAUGAAGCUAUCAGGUAACUUACUACAGUAUGAAGCUAUCAGGUAUGAAGAUAUCAGGUAACUUACCACAGUAUGAAGCUAUCAGGUAACUUACAACAGUAUGAAGCUAUCGGGUAACUUACAACAGUAUGAAGCUAUCGGGUAACUUACAACAGUAUGAAGCUAUCAGGUAACUUACCACAGUAUGAAGCUAUCAGGUAACUUACAACAGUAUGAAGCUAUCAGGUAACUUACUACAGUAUGAAGCUGUCAGGUAACUUACUACAGUAUGAAGCUAUCAGGUAACUUACUACAGUAUGAAGCUAUCAGGUAUGAAGCUAUCAUGUAACUUACAACAGUAUGAAGCUAUCAGGUAACUUACUACAAUAUGAAGCUAUCAGGUAACUUACAGCAGUAUGAAGCUAUCAGGUAUGAAGAUAUCAGGUAACUUACUACAGUAUGAAGCUAUCAGGUAACUUACAACAGUAUGAAGCUAUCAGGUAACUUACUACAGUAUGAAGCUAUCAGGUAACUUACAACAGUAUGAAGCUAUCAGGUAACUUACAACAGUAUGAAGCUAUCAGGUAACUUACAACAGUAUGAAGCUAUCAGGUAACUUACUACAGUAUGAAGCUAUCAGGUAACUUACUACAGUAUGAAGCUGUCAGGUAACUUACUACAAUAUGAAGCUAUCAGGUAACUUACUGCAGUAUGAAGCUAUCAGGUAUGAAGAUAUCAGGUAACUUACUACAGUAUGAAGCUAUCAGGUAACUUACUACAGUAUGAAGCUAUCAGGUAUGAAGAUAUCAG
rnacentral:lncRNA from 1 species